CAAAUACUCCCUCCGUUCCAAAAUUCUUGUUUUAGGUUUGUCUAAAAAAGGAUGUAUCUAAAUACUAAAACGUNNNNAGAUACAUUUAUAUCUAGACAAAUCUAAAACAAUAAUUUUGGAACGGAGGGAUUACCCC
rfam:Hordeum vulgare subsp. vulgare, WGS project CAJW01000000 data, contig: morex_contig_368533